AAAACAUGCACACACAUUAACAGAUAUCCACCAGCUGAAGUGAAAAGGAAUGGUCAACAACAGCUAAUUUCUUUGGGGAUUGUGUCACCAGCCUCACAGAGUCUCCGUGUUCCAUGACGAAGUCAUUACAUUCAGCCUAAUUCUUUUAAGCAGCAAAUCCUUCAGCUUUUGUCCCAACAAAUCAGAUCCUGGAUCUUAUACAAACUGUUGACGAGACUCAAUUCUUCAGUAAAUACAAUACAUGUAAAUAACAUUUAUUUCUAGAGGGAUUAAAAAUGUAUUUGUUUCCCAAUCUGCCUUGUUUCAGGUUUAUUUCUGGUGCUGUGACACUUACACUUCUGAAUUGACACCCUCUUGACACCCUCCCUGCAGAUAUUUAUGCACAUUGAUAAGAUUCCCUCUCAGCCUUCUCUUUUCCAGGCUAAACAGGCCCAGUUCUUUCAGCUUGCCCUCGUACGGCAGGUGCUCAUCAUCUCAUCAUCUUUGUAGCCCUCCACUGCACUUGCUCCAGUAGUUCUAUGUACCUCUUGUACUGCGGAGCCCAGAAGUGGACACAGUACUCCAGGUGCGGCCUCAUCAGGGCUGAGUAGAGGGGGAGGAUCACCUCCCUUGAUCUGCUGGCAACACUCUUCUGAAUGCAGUGCAAGAUCCUACUGGUCUUCUUGGUCCGAAGGGCACAUUGCUGGCUUAUUGUCAGCCUGCUAUCCACCAGGACUCCCAGGUCCCUCUCUGCAGAGCUGCACUCCAGCAGUGUUCCCAGCCAGUUGAAGAAUAUGAUCCCUUUCCUGGGAUCACCCUCUGACCUGAUGAGGCCACAGAUGGAGUAUUUUGUCCAGUUCUCAUCUCCCCAGUACAAGAGAGACAUGGAGCUACCUCUGAGAGUCCAGAGAAGGACCACAAAAAUAAUUAGAGGAUUGAGAGAGAUGGGCCUGUUCAUUCUGGAGAAGACAAAGCUCAGAGGGGAUCUUAUCGGUACAAUAUCUGCUGCUGAAAACAAAGAAACUGCCUGGAAAAAUCAUUAUCCGAUUGACCAAGAUCUCAGUGUGCAACAGCCCAGCUGUAUAAUUCCCAAAGUCAUCCCUCCUCUUCAGUAG
rnacentral:lncRNA from 1 species